AACAAAACGCUGGCGGCGUGUCUUAAGCAUGCAAGUUGAGCGGCAAGGAGGAGAGAUCCUCCCUAGAGCGGCGGACUGGUGAGUAACGCGUGGGUAAUCUAUCGUAGGCAUGGGGAUAGUCACUAGAAAUAGUGGGUAAUACCGAAUACGUUCCAUGAGGGGAGUACUUAUGGAAGAAAGGGUGCUACGGCACUGGCCUUAGGUGAGCUCGCGUCCCAUUAGCUGGUUGGUGAGGUAAAGGCCCACCAAGGCGAUGAUGGGUAGCCGGCCUGAGAGGGUGUACGGCCACACUGGGACUGAGAUACGGCCCAGACUCCUACGGGAGGCAGCAGCUAAGAAUAUUCCGCAAUGGACGAAAGUCUGACGGAGCGACGCCGCGUGGAUGAAGAAGGCCGAAAGGUUGUAAAGUUCUUUUGCUUAGGGGAAAUAAGUGAGGGGGGAAUGCCCUAUGAUGACAAGGCUAGCGAAUAAGCCCCGGCAACUACGUGCCAGCAGCCCG
rnacentral:rRNA from 1 species